AAACCCUAGAACCUGGUAGAUCACCGAAGUUAAGCAUCAUUGGGCGCGGUCAGUACUUGGGUGGGUGACCACCCG